UGUACCAUAGACAUAUUUUUAAAUCAAUUCAUAAACUUGGCACCAUAAUCAUUUAAUUUAACAUAAUUCAAUUAAUUCACUAAAUUUAACUUUCAAAUAUAAAUUACAGCAUUAUUGUUGUAUUAUUAUCAUACCAACUUACAUACAUUCAACACCUCGGAGAUCAUAGUAAAUAUAUCAAUUUUACAUUGAAACAUGCAUAAAUUAAUGCUUAUUAUACAUAUGAACUUACCUUGAUAUUAAAACGACCAUUUUACCAACUUUCCCAAUUUUCGAUUUUUCUCUCAUUCUAG
rnacentral:lncRNA from 1 species